GGGAAAUGAGAUGGAACAAUCUGAUACUCAACCACCUGGACUCUCUGAACUGGCAACAAAAGAGGUUCUGGGAAAAAUGAAAUCAGUGCAAAUGAAUCAAAGUGAAGGACAGAAAGAACCUAGAAACUACCUCCAGAAGGAGACUCCAGCACCCCAAAACCUAGUAACAUAUUUGGCGAGCCAGCCAGGAGGCCAGUGGCCCAGCCUCAGUUUCCCCACACUAGACAACCUCCCAGGAUGGCUACCACCAUUUCUUACGUGGGCC